UACGUAGGGGGCAAGCGUUGUCCGGAAUCAUUGGGCGUAAAGCGCGCGCAGGUGGUUUCUUAAGUCUGAUGUGAAAGCCCACGGCUCAACCGUGGAGGGUCAUUGGAAACUGGGGAACUUGAGUGCAGAAGAGGAAAGUGGAAUUCCAAGUGUAGCGGUGAAAUGCGUAGAGAUUUGGAGGAACACCAGUGGCGAAGGCGACUUUCUGGUCUGUAACUGACACUGAGGCGCGAAAGCGUGGGGAGCGAACAGG
rnacentral:rRNA from 1 species